UACGAAGGUCCCAAGCGUUAUCCGGAUUUAUUGGGUUUAAAGGGUGCGUAGGCGGGUUAUUAAGUCAGUGGUGAAAGCCUUCAGCUUAACUGAAGAACUGCCAUUGAUACUGAUGAGCUUGAGUAUGAUUGAGGUGGGCGGAAUGUGUCAUGUAGCGGUGAAAUGCUUAGAUAUGACACAGAACACCGAUUGCGAAGGCAGCUCACUAAGCCAUAACUGACGCUGAUGCACGAAAGCGUGGGGAGCAAACAGG
rnacentral:rRNA from 1 species